GAUGAACGCUAGCUACAGGCUUAACACAUGCAAGUCGAGGGGAAACGAUAUUGGAAGCUUGCUUCCGAUAGGCGUCGACCGGCGCACGGGUGAGUAACGCGUAUCCAACCUGCCCAUCACUUGGGGAUAACCUUGCGAAAGUAAGACUAAUACCCAAUGACGUCUCUAGAAGACAUCUGAAAGAGAUUAAAGAUUUAUCGGUGAUGGAUGGGGAUGCGUCUGAUUAGCUUGUUGGCGGGGUAACGGCCCAUCAAGGCGACGAUCAGUAGGGGUUCUGAGAGGAAGGUCCCCCACAUUGGAACUGAGACACGGUCCAAACUCCUACGGGAGGCAGCAGUGAGGAAUAUUGGUCAAUGGGCGAGAGCCUGAACCAGCCAAGUAGCGUACAGGAAGACGGCCCUAUGGGUUGUAAACUGCUUUUAUAAGGGAAUAAAGUGGGAGUCGUGACUCCUUUUGCAUGUACCUUAUGAAUAAGGACCGGCUAAUUCCGUGCCAGCCGCCGCAGUAA
rnacentral:rRNA from 1 species